AUAAUGCACCCUCGGAGGUGCUCUAAAACUUGAAUUGUACGGAAAUUUGUGGUAGAUUUCCAUCAACGUUUACUGAUAAUCUCCCACAAAACUCAACCCUACGCCCGCCUAAAUUCGAUCAUUUUCUCUCUCUACUUCUCUGUCUCUCUCUGGUUCUGCAUUUCGAAACCCUAGAUCUGGAUUUCUAGCGAUGAACAAUGAACAACGCAAGUCAGAGAAAGUGUAAUUGGCUUCGGAAUCGAAAUUGGCGGGGCUACACGAAGUUCCUCCUCCUCCUCAUCAUCAUAGGGUAAAGCUGGAGCUGGAUGAUAAAUCCAAGGUUUCCAUUGAGAGCCACUCUCUCUCUUUCUCUCUCAAUGCCGUAAUUUUUGCGAUGGAGUUUCCAUUAACACAAAGACAGCUCCAUCUUUUGGAAAUCCUCAGCACAUGCUCUACUCUAUGUCCUUUCAAAAUCUUACACUGACAGACAUGUAAGAUGACAAUCCAUUGGGGAACAAGUCUGAGAUUAGUUAUCACAUGGAAAGAAUCCAGAAUCAAAAACCGAGGAAGAUCAAAGUGAAACUUUCAACGAUAGCCCCGGUGCAGUCUUGGUCAAUUUGUUGACAAGCUUAAUGCAUUUACCACCAUCCAUGCAUUCAGUGGCUGAUUGUUCUGGCUCUUACCUGGUUGGCGUGGUUUCCCUUUUUCCUUUUGAUACGGAAUGGAUGGGGAGAGAAGCUUAUCUUCGAGACCCAAAAGGGGAUGUCUCUCGAGUUCAAACUUAUGAUCAAAGGAGCCAGAGCAGCAACAUUUGAUUUUCUAUUGAAUUCAUAUUCCAAAGGGAUUCAUGUGAUUGGAGGAAACAGAGCAAUCAAGAUUGUCUCCUUGGUUGUUUUCGCUCGUCUCAGCUUGCCUCUUUCUGUAAUAUAUCUCUAUUCUUGCUGCAAGGUUACUUCUUGUGUUCCCUUCUAUGUUACAGCUGAGUUGACUGCUGAUACAGGAGACGAUCAAGGUUUGUGUAAAAUAUUCCAAAAAGAGAUUCCAAAAAAGUCGGCUCUUUUUUUUUUUGGGUUUUAUUUUUGGUAUUUGGUGAAUUUUUUUCCUAUAUAUAUAUAUAUAUUAUCUUGUAAAA